AAGGGUAUGGCUCAGUGGCAGAGUGUGUGCCUACCAAGCAUAAGGUCCUGGGUUCAAUCCCCAGUACUUUCA